GGUCCUUUCGUCUAGCGGUUAGGACGCAAGAUUUUCAUUCUUGUAACACCGGUUCGAUUCCGGUAGGGACU
rnacentral:tRNA from 1 species